UGCCAAACAUGUGAAAGCCCGGCCCAAGUGUUCGACUCGGCAAAAUCAAGUCUGGACGCUUCAUCUCAGUGAUAGCGUCUGCUUCUCCCUUGAUGAUGGGCAUUCACAAGACGUACAAGGAAGCGCCCUUCCUUCGUCACAUUCGGCCCAGCAUUGCUGUGCUGGCUCCGCGAUUUGCCCCGACACUGUCAGCUGUUAUCAAAUCAUCGAGGCGGCAGAUCUGAAUCCGCAAUUUGCGACUAUAAUUCUGCAUAUAGCGCGUGCUCUGCGACUUCAUUGGAACGAUGGUGCGCGCUGCUUAAGCCUGCAUAACACAUCCAUCCAGUUGACGAAUGCUCGUCUCAUCUGCGUUUUGCCAGUAUUGGUCUUCCGGACGCCGCAUCAGCACUAUACCAUUAUGGACAACGCGUUUGGGAUUGGCAUGAACUUGAAUGGUCCGUAAAAUGCAGUGUACAGUCGUUCUCAUAAGUUUGGAGACAAUGGGACCGAGCGAGUAAGUGUGGGCGCCGUCUGUCCAACGGUGUGGUGCUUGCUGUCGAGAGCGUUGCAGCACGCAUGCGCGUCCAACCUUAUUCGCUGGCCUGCUCGUUUGAUCGAAUCCGCUGAUGCGCAUGCUGUUCAUCGGAAUUUGCGAUCGCCACCGUCAAUACUUCGGACAACGAAGGCGCGGCCACGCUUGCUAAGGCCCGAGCUCGGCACUGUUUCCGAAUCGUAGAAACACGUCACACCGCCAAUAUUAGCGGCUGUCGAACAGUGACGUUUUACCAUUCUUAAUAACCGUAAACAAGUCUUUCUCGUUUCUAUAGACGUUUUUGCCGCGGCUAUUGAUCACACGUAGCGGCCCGCUCCAUGCACGAACCGUUGUCACUGGCCGAACGCCACGAUAAUCAUUGAGCGCUGUUCCAUGUCUCUCUUUCAAAGCUCCAGCGCUUCCAAAUAUGUUGAAAAAUCCGAAUGAAAGAUUGCACAAAUCAUAACUAAACGACAGCGUUUUUUAAUGGCCGACAGUGGUUUGUGUUAGGCGCGUCCCGUUCCGCAGAAAGCAUGAGCGCUGUUUAUCGCCAAGGCAGUCGUGGCAGAAACACCAGCAGUGCGACAUGGCGAUUGCAUAAUUCGGAAACGGCACCAAACUCUGCCCUCGAAAAUCGUGGAUGCGGCGCUGACGCUGCUGUUAAUUCUGAAUAACGGCACGCACGUCGGCACUGACGAGCAGGACAGCGGCAAAGGAGGGACGCGCAUGCUCACUGCUACACCCGACAGCAGGCAUCAUGUCCCCAGGCGGCACGCACGUGCCAUUUGCCACGCACUCUCAUGGUCUCCAAACUUAUGAACGCGACUGUAUGUAUCGGGACCCAUUCCAUGUCCUUCCAAGCUGUUUCAACGAUCGAAGCACAUCAGCCACUGAUAGGAACGCAACUGUAGCCUUUUUUUCGCUGCUUUUAAUUUUGGCAUGGCAAAUAAAGGUGCUACCCCAGA
rnacentral:lncRNA from 1 species